rnacentral:rRNA from 1 species
GACGAACGCUGGCGGCGUGCUUAACACAUGCAAGUCGAACGGAAAGGCCCUGCUUUUGUGGGGUGCUCGAGUGGCGAACGGGUGAGUAACACGUGAGUAACCUGCCCUUGACUUUGGGAUAACUUCAGGAAACUGGGGCUAAUACCGGAUAGGAGCUCCUGCUGCAUGGUGGGGGUUGGAAAGUUUCGGCGGGUGGGGAUGGACUCGCGGGUUAUGAGCUUGUUGGGUGGGUAGUGGCUUACCAAGGCUUUGACGGGUAGCCGGCCUGAGAGGGUGACCGGGCACAUUAGUCCUGCGAGACGCCGCAGAGGCGUACGGUAGGCAGUAGGCGGGAAUAUUGCACAGUGAGGGGACGCGUGAUGCAGAAACGCCCGGUGCGUGAAGCCGGCUUUUGGGUGGUAAAACGCUUGAGCCUGUUAUGAAGCGUGAGUGACGGUACCUGGUGAAGAAGCACCGGCUAACUACGUG